UCUCCUGUGGCUCAGUUGGUGAAGCACUAUGUUAACGACGCAAAGGUUGUUGGUUCAAAUCCCAGGGAAAG